AGAUGCAAUCAUACCAACACUACUACAUUUGAUCUCAUUGCCUCAGAUCUCCACAUUUAAGCGUACUUGGACGAGUGUAGUACUAGAAUGGUGAAGUCAUGGGAAGUCCAUGUGUUGUACCUC
rfam:Lupinus angustifolius cultivar Tanjil contig_48250, whole genome shotgun sequence.